rnacentral:rRNA from 1 species
GAGCGGAAGGCCCUUCGGGGUACUCGAGCGGCGAACGGGUGAGUAACACGUGAGUAAUCUGCCCCAGGCUCUGGGAUAGCCACCGGAAACGGUGAUUAAUACCGGAUACGACAACUUCCUGCAUGGGAUGGUUGUGGAAAGUUUUUCGGCCUGGGAUGUGCUCGCGGCCUAUCAGCUUGUUGGUGAGGUAAUGGCUCACCAAGGCUUCGACGGGUAGCCGGCCUGAGAGGGUGACCGGCCACACUGGGACUGAGACACGGCCCAGACUCCUACGGGAGGCAGCAGUGGGGAAUAUUGGACAAUGGGCGGAAGCCUGAUCCAGCAACGCCGCGUGAGGGAUGACGGCCUUCGGGUUGUAAACCUCUUUCAGCACAGACGAAGCGCAAGUGACGGUAUGUGCAGAAGAAGGACCGGCCAACUACGUGCCAGCAGCCGCGGUAAUACGUAGGGUCCGAGCGUUGUCCGGAAUUAUUGGGCGUAAAGGGCUCGUAGGCGGUCUGUCGCGUCGGGAGUGAAAACCAGGUGCUUAACACCUGGCCUGCUUUCGAUACGGGCAGACUAGAGGUACUCAGGGGAGAAUGGAAUUCCUGGUGUAGCGGUGAAAUGCGCAGAUAUCAGGAGGAACACCGGUGGCGAAGGCGGUUCUCUGGGAGUAUCCUGACGCUGAGGAGCGAAAGUGUGGGGAGCGAACAGGAUUAGAUACCCUGGUAGUCCACACCGUAAACGUUGGGCGCUAGGUGUGGGAUCCAUUCCACGGGUUCCGUGCCG